GACGAACGCUGGCGGCGUGCCUAAUACAUGCAAGUAGAACGAGUUGCGAAAGGGUGAGUAAGGCGUAGGUAAAACCCUCAUAGCGGGGGAGAAAUAUUGGAAAAGAUAGCUCAUACCGCAUACUGUGAGAUGCAUCUGCGUUGUAUUAGGCAGUUGGUGAGUUAAAGACUCACAAAGGCGACGAUACAUAGCCGACCUGAGGGGAGGAGCGGACAAACUGGGACUGAGGAACGGCCCAGACUCCGACGGGAGGCAUGAGUAGGGAAUCUUCGGCAGUGGAAGGAAGUCUGACCGAGCAACGCCGCGUGAGUGAAGAAGGUUUUCGGAUCGUAAAGCUCUGUUGUUAGAGAAGCGGUAACUAACCAGAAAGGGACGGCUAACUACGUGCCAGCAGCCGCGGUAAUUC
rnacentral:rRNA from 1 species